rnacentral:rRNA from 1 species
CGACGCCGCGUGAACGAAGAAGGCCGUGAGGUUGUAAAGUUCUUUUCGGGAGGGGGAACAACCGUGGCAGGGAAUGGCCGCGGGAUGACGUGAAUCCCGGAAUAAGCCCCGGCUAACUACGUGCCAGCAGCCGCGGUAACACGUAGGGGGCGAGCGUUGUUCGGAAUCAUUGGGCGUAAAGGGCGUGCAGGCGGUCGUGCAAGUCCGGCGUGAAAGACCCCGGCCCAACCGGGGGGACGCGCUGGAAACUGCAGGGCUUGAGUACAGGAGGGGAUGCCGGAAUUCCAGGUGUAGGGGUGAAAUCUGUAGAUAUCUGGAAGAACACCAAUGGCGAAGGCAGGCAUCUGGCCAUGUACUGACGCUGAGACGCGAAGGUGCGGGGAGCAAACAGGUUUAGAUACCCUGGUAGUCCGCACAGUAAACGAUGUGCACCAGGUGGCGGGGGGUCGACCCCCGGUACCGUAGCUAACGCAUUAAGUGCACCGCCUGGGGAGUAUGCUCGCAAGGGUGAAACUCAAAGGAAUUGACGGGGGCCCGCACAAGCGGUGGAGCAUGUGGUUUAAUUCGAUGGUACGCGAGGAACCUUACCAGGGCUUGACAUACGCCGGAAACGCAUCGAAAGGUGCGUGCCGCUUGCGGCCGGCGUACAGGUGCUGCAUGGCUGUCGUCAGCUCGUGCUGUGAAGUGUUGGGUUAAGUCCCGCAACGAGCGCAACCCCUGCUGCCUGUUGCCACCACGUGAAGGUGGGGACUCAGGCGGAACUGCCGGUGACAAACCGGAGGAAGGUGGGGGACGACGUCAAGUCAUCAUGGCCCUUAUGUCCUGGGCUACACACGUGCUACAAUGGCCGGUACAGAGCGCAGCGAGGCCGCGAGGCGGAGCGAAUCGCUUAAAGCCGGUCCCAGUACGGAUUGGAGUCUGCAACCCGACUCCAUGAAG